AGCCACAUGCGGCCAUUGCGGGCUCACGCAGGUUCGUUCGCGUGGUCUUGUUACGCCUCGCUGGAUCGUGUUCAGUCAUGCCGUCCUUGCGCGGCGUGAUUGUCGGUGAGUCAGGUUAAAUUCUUAAAUAGGUCGCGCCUACGCCUAAUUGAGUCUAUAAAAGCCUGCACAUUCAGUUUUGCUAGCUACAAUGCAGUGCGGCUGGCGUGAGCUGUCUCCACGAUGCGCUUCGAUCGUGUCGAUUUCGCCGUUCUGUAUGUUGGCGUUAACGACCUUGAAUGCAACAUGGAUCCACAAGAAAUGUGCGACAACAUCAAGGCCUUGAUUGUUCAACGAGACGGCCCCCGUCGUGCUGGUUUUCAAGGUGCUCCCUCGCUGCCUAGAAGAUGCUGAUGCGGAAUAGAAAAUGCAAAAACGUCGCUUGCUCAACCGCAAAUUGACGGCUACGCUGAAGCGCAUGCCGUGUCUGCGGAAUUUGAACCCCGAGCUUUCCAGAGUUCCUUGGAAAAUCCUCCCAUGCACCUGCCAUGUACAUUGCCCUCCUCCUCGAUGUGGCGUGCAAGAUGGCAGCAGCAGCUGUGGGAACAGUUGAAGAGGCGAAGAAAGGUCCACUUUAUAAUAGGUUGUAUGUAAAUAAAACUGAUCGACCUCAA